rnacentral:lncRNA from 1 species
AUGUACUUAUGUUAUAUCCUUAUUUCACAUAUUUUUUUUCUCAUGACUCCCAUGCAACACACAUUGAUAGGAAGAAAAAAAAAAAAUAAAAUAAUAAUAAUGAGAAAAGUUUUUUAUGUAGCCCUUAUUUUUUUAUAUAUAAGUUGCAUAAAAAUAUCACAAGUAUAUUGCAGAAAGAUUUAUAAAAAUGAAAAUACCAAAAAUAUCAGUACGUUUUAUUUGGUGCAAGAUGGAAUUACAAAAACGCAUAACUUUAAUAAUUGGGAAUUUUUAAAUUACAAAAGAAGAAAAUUAUUUUUUCAUAUUCGCAUUCCUAAAAAGAGACUGAUCAAAUUUAACCCAUUUUCUAAUGAUAUAAAAAAUAAAAAAAUUAACAGUUUUUUAGAAAAUAAAAAAAAAAGGAAAAUAAAUUAUUUACAUAUAAGUAAAGACAAGUAUGUAAAAUUAAAAAAAAAGGAACUAAGUAAAAAAAAAAAAAAAAAUAUAAUAGCAUUAUUUUUAAAAGAACAAAAAAAGAUACUAGAAUAUUUGUAUAAUUUCAAAUCCUCGUUAUUAUAUAAAUAUAAAAAUACAAAAAUUAUAACAAAAUGUUUUUUAACAUCUACUUUGUUAAUGGUGGUGUUUAAUUUAUUUGGUUUAAAACCAGAGGAUAUCGCAUUACAUGGUAAAAGAGUAACAAGAGCUUUCGAGUUUUAUAGAAUUUUAACAUCGUCUAUGUUUUUUGGUGAUAUAUCUUUAUAUGUAUUAACGAAUAUUUAUAUGUUAUAUAUACAAAGUUAUGAAUUAGAAAAAUAUGUUGGUUCAUCAGAAACACUUGUUUUUUAUCUUUCACAAUUUAUUAUAUUAUCUUCGAUAUGUUCUUAUUUAAAAAAACCAUUUUAUUCAACAGCCUUACUAAAAUCUUUAUUAUUUGUAAACUGUAUGUUAAAACCUUAUGAAAAAUCGACUAUUAUAUUUGGGAUCAAAAGUUAUAAUAUAUAUUUACCUUAUCUUUCAAUUAUUAUUGAUGUUAUACAUGCACAAAAUUUAAACGCUUCUCUGUCUGGGUUGUUGGGAGUUAUAAGUGGAUCAAUAUAUUAUUUUUUAAAUAUAUAUGCUUAUGAACAUUAUAAUAAAAAAUUUUUCAAAGUACCUUUAUUUUUAAAAAGACGCCUUGAUUCUGUAAACAUAAAUGAUAUACUGGAAGAGUGA